UCGUAUCGUUGGAUGCAGUUCAAAGUGUGUAGCUACAAAACAACAAACAGGUUGAUCACACUUCUAUUCAAGAAUAUGCAAGACUCACCAUUACUUUAUAAGUUGAACUCAAUGACGUACAGCAACAGCUUAAAGAACAACAAAAUGCUCCUUCUAUCUUUACAAGUAUGAAAGACUUAAAACAUGUACGUUGCAAGGUCGAUAACAACCAAACAUAGCUUGAGUAGCGAGAUCAGAUGAUAUUGCAACAUUAAAAAGAUAUUGAAGCACUCACUUAUAAGCAUACAACUACAAAAGAAGAAAUAAAAGCACACAAUAGUAUAUUACAUAAAGUCUUGCUUAAGAAUACACAAGGCACUUGGAUAUAGAAGAUAAAAUGGAAAUUACAA
rnacentral:lncRNA from 1 species